rnacentral:tRNA from 1 species
GCCUUCGUGGUGUAGUGGUCAGCACGCUCGACGCGUAUUCGAGAGGUCCGUGGUUCGAGUCCCGGCGACGGCG